CCGGUGCUUGUCCAGGAUGUUGCCGAAGAGCCGAGACAGGGUCUCACUCUGUCUCCCAGGCUGGAGUGCAAUGGCACAAUCACAGCUCACUGUAGCCUCCUCAACCUCCCAGGCUCAAGUGAUCCUCCCGCCUUGGUUUCCCAAAGUGCUGGGAUUAUAGGUGUGGGCCAUGAACCCAGCCUGCUUUUACUACUCAACAUGGUCAGCAG
rnacentral:lncRNA from 10 species